rnacentral:rRNA from 1 species
UUUUUGGAGAGUUUGAUCUUGGCUCAGGACGAACGCUGGCGGCGUGCCUAAUACAUGCAAGUCGAGCGCGGGAAGCAGAAAGAUUCCUUCGGGA